AUUGAACGCUGGCGGCAGGCUUAACACAUGCAAGUCGAGCGGGGUGAUGGUGCUUGCACUAUCACUUAGCGGCGGACGGGUGAGUAAUGCUUAGGAAUCUGCCUAUUAGUGGGGGACAACAUCUCGAAAGGGAUGCUAAUACCGCAUACGUCCUACGGGAGAAAGCAGGGGAUCACUUGUGACCUUGCGCUAAUAGAUGAGCCUAAGUCGGAUUAGCUAGUUGGUGGGGUAAAGGCCUACCAAGGCGACGAUCUGUAGCGGGUCUGAGAGGACGAUCCACCAUACUGGGACUGAGACACGGCCCAGACUCCUACGGGAGGCAGCAGUGGGGAAUAUUUGACAAUGGGGGGAACCCUGAUCCAGCCAUGCCGCGUGUGUGAAGAAGGCCUUAUGGUUGUAAAGCACUUUAAGCGAGGAGGAGGCUCUUUUGGUUAAUACCCAAGAUGAGUGGACGUUACUCGCAGAAUAAGCACCGGCUAUCUCUGUGCCAGCAGCCGCAGUAA
rnacentral:rRNA from 1 species